UGACAACAGGUGUUAAGAGGAAGAGAGGAGCAAGCAUAUAUAUAUGGCACUCCAGGAAGAUGAAGGUGGGAUUAUAGAAGUUGCUUUGCUGUGACUAAAGAGAACUUGUAAGGAAGCCUGUGUCCAUAGAUUGUCAUGGGUAUGCAGCUGUAGUCUGGGAGGUCUGAUGUUAGGGAAAAAGAAGGAGGAAAGCAAGAUUAAAAAUCAUUCCUGGAAAUGCAAGAGAAAAUGUGCUGGAGUGGUGCUGUUAGUACCAGGGACACUGGACAAGAAAGAUAAGCAAGCCACUGCUGUCUGAUUCCUACAUAGCAGGUUAAAGUGUUGGAUUCAUAAUUCUCACUUCAGGAAGACUGAAAACCAGACUUUAUUCUGCUAGAUCCCAAGAUAUCAAGGAAGAGGAAAAGGGAAGAGCCCCAGGCACUAUUAAACCACAGCUACAAUCACUGCCAUUUGAAACUUCCCACCAAACAACUUUACUAUUCUGAUUUAAUUUCAACUCCCAGGGAGAGUUAGUAUUAAGAGGAAGUACCUAUCAUCCAUGAUAAUCCACCUGAAGAGCUAUAAGAAUGGAAUCGAGACUAGGAGAGGAACAUCCAAAGGAGAGAAAAUGACUGCAGUGGGAGAGAACAAGAGCUACGAUCAAAAAGAGGAGAGACAAGCAGCACUGAGGAAGACAGAAGGGUAAGAAGAGGUGAUGUCAGAAGUGGGAUCCAAAGAAAAGCUUCCAGUGACCCCCAGGAGCACUGAGUGACCAAGCAAGGUACCUGC
rnacentral:lncRNA from 1 species